rnacentral:rRNA from 1 species
AUGGCGCCGGCCUCCAAGGCUGCUCCGCUACUGAUAACCCACUCCGCCCACCCAGGGCACGUACUCAAGCUUUUUGCCGGCAGCCCUCCGUUCCAGUGCGAUGGCUGCAGGCAGUACAGCGACGACGAGCGCUGGUACCGGUGCGAGCCAUGCGACUACGACCUUCAUGUAUGCUGUGCGCUCCUCAGGACCUACCUCACGCAUCCUCUCUUUCCGGGCCGCAUUUUCGCCUUCCGCCACAGGCCUCCCAGCGUUCCGGGUUACAGCUGCAGAUCCUGCGACGGCUGCGGAGACUUGGUGCUCGGCUUCGUGUACCACAACGCCGAGCGCCAGCUCGACCUCCACCCGCAGUGUGCCUCCCUUGCGACGGUCCUCACCGGGGAGGAAGGCGUGUUCAUCCUCUCGGAGGAGGCGCCUGUCCGUGGUAACUGCGGGCUGUGCGGGCAGGGGAAGAACGGGCGCCGUGGCAGGUUCUGGUGCUACCGCUUCAACUACGCCGACGGGGAGCCUGCGUACGUGCAUGUGGCGUGCUUAAUGGAACUACGGGGUCAGGGGACGCUGCAGAGCGCGCCCAGCAGGAGGUCUGGCAGGUUCUUGCGUUUCUGCAAGAUUGCCUUGACCGUCGCCAGGGUGGCACACGCAGUCACCACUAUGGACCCGGUAGGGUUUGUCACCGCAGUUGCAGGCCACCCAUGA